rnacentral:tRNA from 1 species
GCGAGGGUGGCGGAACCGGCAGACGCGCGGGUCUUAGAAGCCCGUUCCGAAAGGAGUGCGGGUUCGACUCCCGCCCCUCGCA